GAUGAACGCUGGCGGCGUGCUUCAUACAUGCAAGUCGAACGGAGGUUGUAGCAAUACUUCCUCAGUGGCGAACGGGUGAGUAAUACGUUGGUGACCUGCCUCGAAGUUGGGGAUAACAGUCCGAAAGGAUUGCUAAUACAGAAUGUGGUCGGUGGGAUUAGAUGCCCGCUGACUAAAGGCGAAAGUCGCUUCGAGAGGGGCCUGCGUCCCAUCAGCUAGUUGGUAAGGUAAUGGCUUACCAAGGCGAUGACGGGUAGGGGACCUGAGAGGGUGGCCCCCCACAAUGGAACUGAAACACGGUCCAUACACCUACGGGUGGCAGCAGUAGGGAAUAUUGGUAAUGGGCGAAAGCCCGACCCAGCAACGCCGCGUGCACGAUGAAGGUCUUCGGAUUGUAAAGUGCUUUUCAACGGGAAGAGGAAGGACGGUACCGUUGGAAUAAGCCUCGGCUAACUACGUGCCAGCCGCCGCAGUAAUAC
rnacentral:rRNA from 1 species